GGAAUCUUCGGCAAUGGGCGAAAGCCUGACCGAGCAACGCCGCGUGAAUGAAGAAGGCCUUCGGGUUGUAAAAUUCUGUUAUAAGGGAAGAAAGGUGAUAGGAGGAAAUGACUAUCAAUUGACGGUACCUUAUGAGAAAGCCACGGCUACCUACGUGCCAGCAGCCGCGGUAAUACGUAGGGGGCAAGCGUUAUCCGGAUUUACUGGGUGUAAAGGGUGCGUAGACGGGAAAUUAAGUUAGUUGUGAAAUCCCUCGGCUUAACUGAGGAACUGCAACUAAAACUGAUUUUCUUGAGUACUGGAGAGGAAAGUGGAAUUCCUAGUGUAGCGGUGAAAUGCGUAGAUAUUAGGAGGAACACCAGUGGCGAAGGCGACUUUCUGGACAGUAACUGACGUUGAGGCACGAAAGUGUGGGGAGCAAACAGG
rnacentral:rRNA from 1 species